rnacentral:rRNA from 1 species
UACAGAGGUCCCGAGCGUUGUUCGGAUUCACUGGGCGUAAAGGGUGCGUAGGUGGUGAGGUAAGUCGGAUGUGAAAUCUCCGGGCUCAACCCGGAAACUGCAUUGGAAACUACCUUGCUUGAGGGUUUGAGGGGGGACUGGAAUUCUCGGUGUAGCAGUGAAAUGCGUAGAUAUCGAGAGGAACACCGGUGGCGAAGGCGGAUCUCUGGGCCAUUACUGACGCUGAGGAGCGAAAGCGUGGGGAGCGAACAGG